GCUGGCCUGUAGCGCGAUUCUGUAACUCGUUAUGCUGUCGUUAUGGACUCAUAACGACAAGUUUCGUUAUGCUACCGACCGCGUCGCUAUUAUAACGACAAAUGCGAUUCUGUACACUAUUCUUAGCGAGUUUUGUCGUUAUUAGUAACGAAAAGUGUCGUUAUGAUGUCGUUACGGUGCGAGCGGAUAGCGAGGCUCAGAGACCCCCUCGGUACGCUAUAACGACGAUUAUAACGACACUUUGCACACGAGCUAGAGGAGUGGUGUGCGUUUCCCAUAUUUUUCUCGACUCCGAGAAAGUGCUUCGAAAAGUGCUCCGAAAGUGAAAAAUAAUUACGACGUUUGAAAUAACAAGAUCAUGGCUAUCGAAUACCUUGCUUGGGAUGUAUUCGUUCUUGAGGAAAGAUUACGUCGACUCGAACGUCGUGUGGAAAGAAGGCGACUGAGAGAUGCUCAGAAUCCUUUUCAGUUACCACGAGAAGAGUUUCUCAGCCUUUUUCACCUGCCUCAAGAAGCUGUGAUGAAUCUUGGUUAACACCUUAAGCGCAGUCAAAGCGAAAAUAUUUUUCACUGUUCAGCAAAGCAGCAUAGGUGAUGCUGGAUAUCCGUUGGAGCCUUGGCUGUUAACACCUCUGGCCAAUUUUCCUGAAGAUACGCGACAACAUCAAUAUACACAACAACUAUGUAAGGCUAGAAGCGUCGUCGAGCGGUUUUUUGGAGUUUUUAAAUCUGUAUGGAGAUGCUUGUCAUACCAGCGAGUCUUGAUGUACGAACCAGCGUUCGCAGCGAAAAUUGAUAAUGCGUGUGCAGUACUGCACAACAUGAGAGUGCAACUACGAUUAAACAAUGAAGAUGACGAACAACUAGCACCGAUAGCUCAUCUUGUAGAGAAUGAUGUUGAUCUGAUGGAUCAAGAUGAAGAAUACCACAGACGAGGACCACGCGCUUUGGCUCAACGAAUUCAACAACAAAUUAUGAGAGAAAGAUUUACCAACUUCCGUGAUGCGGAAGAAUAGAAUACAGAAUAUGGAAUGAUGUUUAUGGUUAAAUUGCCAACAAGUAUAAUGUUUAAAGGUGAUGAGAGAAAUUAACGACAACAGAGUCAGGGCGGUGUUACGCUCCGACGUACCGCCUUGGCGUACCUUUUUCAAAAUUCCAUGUCAUUUCAUUUCUUUAAUAUCUUCAAUGCACAGAUAUUA
rnacentral:lncRNA from 1 species